CCUACGGGAGGCAGCAGUGGGGAAUAUUGGACAAUGGGGGGAACCCUGAUCCAGCCAUGCCGCGUGUGUGAAGAAGGCCCUCGGGUUGUAAAGCACUUUCAGUGAGGAAGAACGCCUGGUGGUUAAUACCCAUCAGGAAAGACAUCACUCACAGAAGAAGCACCGGCUAACUCCGGGCCAGCAGCCGCGGUAAUACGGAGGGUGCGAGCGUUAAUCGGAAUUACUGGGCGUAAAGCGCGCGUAGGUGGCUUGAUAAGCCGGUUGUGAAAGCCCCGGGCUCAACCUGGGAACGGCAUCCGGAACUGUCAAGCUAGAGUGCAGGAGAGGAAGGUAGAAUUCCCGGUGUAGCGGUGAAAUGCGUAGAGAUCGGGAGGAAUACCAGUGGCGAAGGCGGCCUUCUGGACUGACACUGACACUGAGGUGCGAAAGCGUGGGUAGCAAACAGGAUUAGAUACCCUGGUAGUC
rnacentral:rRNA from 1 species